rnacentral:rRNA from 1 species
AACGAACGCUGGCGGCAUGCCUAACACAUGCAAGUCGAACGAGACCUUCGGGUCUAGUGGCGCACGGGUGCGUAACGCGUGGGAAUCUGCCCUUGGGUUCGGGAUAACAGUUGGAAACGACUGCUAAUACCGGAUGAUGACUUCGGUCCAAAGAUUUAUCGCCCAGGGAUGAGCCCGCGUAGGAUUAGCUUGUUGGUGAGGUAAAGGCUCACCAAGGCGACGAUCCUUAACUGGUCUGAGAGGAUGAUCAGCCACACUGGGACUGAGACACGGCCCAGACUCCUACGGGAGGCAGCAGUGGGGAAUAUUGGACAAUGGGCGAAAGCCUGAUCCGGCAAUGCCGCGUGAGUGAUGAAGGCCUUAGGGUUGUAAAGCUCUUUUACCCGGGAUGAUAAUGACAGUACCGGGAGAAUAAGCCCCGGCUAACUCCGUGCCAGCCGCCGCCGUAA